rnacentral:rRNA from 1 species
GUAGAAUCUACCAAAAGGACUGGGACAACCACUGGAAACGGUGGCUAAUACCGGAUGAGCCGAAAAGUAAAAAGGGAAACCUGCCUUUUGAAGAGCUCGCGUCUGAUUAGCUAGUUGGUGAGGUAAGAGCUCACCAAGGCAGCGAUCAGUAGCUGGUCUGAGAGGAUGACCAGCCACACUGGGACUGAGACACGGCCCAGACUCCUACGGGAGGCAGCAGUGGGGAAUUUUCCGCAAUGGGCGAAAGCCUGACGGAGCAAGACCGCGUGAGGGAAGAAGGCUCUUGGGUCGUAAACCUCUUUUAUCAGGGAAGAAAAAAAUGACGGUACCUGAAGAAUCAGCCUCGGCUAACUCCGUGCCAGCAGCCGCGGUAAUACGGAGGAGGCAAGCGUUAUCCGGAAUUAUUGGGCGUAAAGCGUCCGCAGGUGGCUUAUCAAGUCUGCUGUCAAAGAGUGGGGCUUAACCCCAUAAAGGCAGUGGAAACUGGCAAGCUAGAGUGCCGUAGGGGUAGAGGGAAUUCCCGGUGUAGCGGUGAAAUGCGUAGAGAUCGGGAAGAACAUCGGUGGCGAAAGCGCUCUACUGGACGGCAACUGACACUCAGGGACGAAAGCUAGGGGAGCGAAAGGGAUUAGAUACCCUGUAGUCAA